rnacentral:rRNA from 1 species
CUACGGGGCGCUGCAGUGAGGAAUAUUGCACAAUGGGGGGAACCCUGAUGCAGCAACGCCGCGUGGAGGAUGACGCAUUUCGGUGUGUAAACUCCUUUUAUAUGUCAAGAAAAUGACGGUAGCAUAUGAAUAAGCACCGGCUAACUCCGUGCCAGCAGCCGCGGUAAUACGGAGGGUGCAAGCGUUACUCGGAAUCACUGGGCGUAAAGGACGCGUAGGCGGGUUGGAAAGUCAGGUGUGAAAUCCUACAGCUUAACUGUAGAACUGCACUUGAAACUUCUAAUCUAGAGUAUGGGAGGGGGAGAUGGAAUUAGUGGUGUAGGGGUAAUAUCCGUAGAUAUCAGUAGGAAUACCUAAAGCGAAGGCGAUCUCCUGGAACAUUACUGACGCUAAGGCGUGAAAGCGUGGGGAGCAAACAGGAUUAGAUACCCUCGUAGUC